UACGUAGGGGGCUAGCGUUGUCCGGAAUCAUUGGGCGUAAAGCGCGUGUAGGCGGUCCGAUAAGUUCGCUGUGAAAGUCGGGGGCUCAACCCUCGGAUGCCGGUGAAUACUGUCGGGCUUGAGUACGGAAGAGGCGAGUGGAAUUCCUGGUGUAGCGGUGAAAUGCGCAGAUAUCAGGAGGAACACCGACGGCGAAGGCAGCACUCUGGGCCGGUACUGACGCUGAGGAGCGAAAGCAUGGGGAGCGAACAGG
rnacentral:rRNA from 1 species